GAUGAACGCUAGCUACAGGCUUAACACAUGCAAGUCGCAGGGUAACAUGAGGAAAGCUUGCUUUCCUUGAUGACGACUGGCGCACGGGUGAGUAACGCGUAUCCAACCUUCCCAUAACUACGGGAUAACCCGUUGAAAGACGGCCUAAUACCGUAUGAUAUCGUUUGCUGACAUCAAAUAACGAUUAAAGGUUUAGCGGUUAUGGAUGGGGAUGCGUCUGAUUAGCUUGUUGGCGGGGUAACGGCCCACCAAGGCGACGAUCAGUAGGGGUUCUGAGAGGAAGGUCCCCCACAUUGGAACUGAGACACGGUCCAAACUCCUACGGGAGGCAGCAGUGAGGAAUAUUGGUCAAUGGGCGAGAGCCUGAACCAGCCAAGUAGCGUGCAGGACGACGGCCCUAUGGGUGGUAAACUGCUUUUAGGUGGGGAUAAAGUGCGUGACGUGUCAUGCAUUGCAGGUACCACAUGAAUAAGGACCGGCUAAUUCCGUG
rnacentral:rRNA from 1 species